GUGCGAAUAUAUUCUCGCCGGAUUGAUUUGUCAGUGAUCACUACCGGGCUAGACGUUCGCUAGAGGAACACUGGUCUGUGUCGUCGGUACUGGUCUAUUAAGCAGUACUGAUUCUAAAAGGCUGGUUACACUA